GAAAUCUGGUACCUUUGGUGCCCGAGUUGUAAUUUGAAGAUAGUUUUCUGGUGCUGGCCCUUGUCUAUGUUCCUUGGAACAGGACGUCACAGAGGGUGAGAAUCCCGUCUGGCGGGGUGUCCAGUGCUUUGUAGAUUUCUAUCGACGAGUCGAGUUGUUUGGGAAUGCAGCUCUAAGUGGGUGGUAAAUUCCAUCUAAAGCUAAAUAUUGGCGAGAGACCGAUAGCGAACAAGUACAGUGAUGGAAAGAUGAAAAGAACUUUGAAAAGAGAGUGAAAAAGUACGUGAAAUUGUUGAAAGGGAAGGGUAUUAGAUCAGACUUGGUGUUUUGUGAUUAUCUUCCCUUCUUGGGUUGUGCACUCGCAUUUCACUGGGCCAGCAUCGGUUCGGGUGGUAAGAUAAUGACAUUGGAACGUGGCACUGCCUUCGGGUGGUGUGUUAUAGCCCUUGUUGAUGUUGCCUACCUGGACC
rnacentral:rRNA from 1 species